UAUUAAUAGUUUUUUUUAAGCCAAUUACGACUCCUACAGUUUACUGUUUAAAACGACGUUUUUUGUUUUAGAAACCUAAUUACAUCGUAUUACCCCAAGGGUAAUGCAAUAGAAGCAAAUUCAGUGAGCUUCGGAACAUUAACAUGAAAAUGGUUCUAUCCCAACGCCAGCGAGAAGAGCUGGAAACAACUUGAAAAACAUGAAAAUGUAUCUACCUAGUACUAUACUCAUAAUACGAAUUGAAAAUCUAUACAGGGUGUCG